rnacentral:rRNA from 1 species
AUUGAACGCUGGCGGCAGGCCUAACACAUGCAAGUCGAGCGGAGCGGCGGACGGGUGAGUAAUGCCUAGGAAUCUGCCUGGUAGUGGGGGAUAACGCCCGGAAACGGGCACUAAUACCGCAAACUUUCAGAUGAGCCUAGGUCGGAUUAGCUAGGUGGUGGGGUAAAGGCCUACCAAGGGGACGAUCCGUAACUGGUCUGAGAGGAUGAUCAGUCACACUGUAACUGAGACACGGUCCAGACUCCGACGGGAGGCAGCAGUGGGGAAGAAUGGACAAUGGGCGAAAGCCUGAUCCAGCCAUGGCGCGUGUGCGAAGAAGGUCUUCGGAUUGUAAAGCACUUUAAGUUGGGAGGCGUUACCAACAGAAUAAGCACCGGCUAACUUCGUGCCAGCAGCCGCGGUAAUUC